rnacentral:rRNA from 1 species
UACGGGGGGAGCAAGCGUUGUUCGGAUUUACUGGGCGUAAAGGGCGCGUAGGCGGUCAGCACAAGUCAAUUGUGAAAUCUCCGAGCUUAACUCGGAAAGGUCAACUGAAACUGUGCGACUAGAGUGCGGAAGGGGCAACUGGAAUUCUCGGUGUAGCGGUGAAAUGCGUAGAUAUCGAGAGGAACACCUGCGGCGAAGGCGGGUUGCUGGGCUGACACUGACGCUGAUGUGCGAAAGCUAGGGGAGCGAACGGG